rnacentral:lncRNA from 1 species
UAUUAACAAUGAAUUGUGUUUUGGUUCCUUAGGUUCGCUCCCUCCUCUUUGGGGCCUUGUCCUGUGAGCAGGGUGAUGGUUGUACCUUUGUGCUGCCCAGUCUGGUGUGUUCCAGUGAUACAGAAGAAGAUGGGGGAUAUGACAGUGUCAGUGGUGCACUACGGCCAGCCAUGUCAGUGGUUCCCAUUGGUGAUGAGGGCAGCUAACCAGCCGCACCAGUGAUUGUCUGGAAGGCGAGCCUCUCACCCACGCCUCGUGCCGAUUACUCAGGGUUCAGGACUCAGACCCCUUGACAUGAACAGCUGCAACCCGGCAAUGUUCCGGUCCAAAGGAAGCACGAAACACCUAUUAACAAUUCCUCUGGUGGAUUUUACUGGAGGGGGAGAAGGAGCCCUCUUCUCCUGUAAUUUACAACAGGGUGUGAACUGUCAAACCGGUCCAGUUCCCUCUUCAUCUCUUCUGUGGGUGAGAGAAGGUCUGGUUAUUGUAACCAUUGCCAAGCUGACCUGA